UGGGGUGGUUAUUGCGGCGGGGCUCACCUCUUCCCAUCCCGAACAGAGAAGUUAAGCCCGCCUGCGCAGAUGGUACUGCAGUUAUGUGGGAGAGUAUGUCGUCGCCUUUC
rnacentral:rRNA from 1 species